CGGGGAAUGGCCUAAUUGGUAAGGCGCACGAUUCGGGUUCGUGAGACUCCGGAUUCGAGUUCCGGUUCCCCGA
rnacentral:tRNA from 1 species